rnacentral:rRNA from 1 species
GGUUAAGCGACUAAGCGUACACGGUGGAUGCCCUGGCAGUCAGAGGCGAUGAAGGACGUGCUAAUCUGCGAUAAGCGUCGGUAAGGUGAUAUGAACCGUUAUAACCGGCGAUUUCCGAAUGGGGAAACCCAGUGUGUUUCGACACACUAUCAUUAACUGAAUCCAUAGGUUAAUGAGGCGAACCGGGGGAACUGAAACAUCUAAGUACCCCGAGGAAAAGAAAUCAACCGAGAUUCCCCCAGUAGCGGCGAGCGAACGGGGAGCAGCCCAGAGCCUGAAUCAGUGUGUGUGUUAGUGGAAGCGUCUGGAAAGGCGCGCGAUACAGGGUGACAGCCCCGUACACAAAAAUGCACAUACUGUGAGCUCGAUGAGUAGGGCGGGACACGUGGUAUCCUGUCUGAAUAUGGGGGGACCAUCCUCCAAGGCUAAAUACUCCUGACUGACCGAUAGUGAACCAGUACCGUGAGGGAAAGGCGAAAAGAACCCCGGCGAGGGGAGUGAAAAAGAACCUGAAACCGUGUACGUACAAGCAGUGGGAGCACGCUUAGGCGUGUGACUGCGUACCUUUUGUAUAAUGGGUCAGCGACUUAUAUUCUGUAGCAAGGUUAACCGAAUAGGGGAGCCGAAGGGAAACCGAGUCUUAACUGGGCGUUAAGUUGCAGGGUAUAGACCCGAAACCCGGUGAUCUAGCCAUGGGCAGGUUGAAGGUUGGGUAACACUAACUGGAGGACCGAACCGACUAAUGUUGAAAAAUUAGCGGAUGACUUGUGGCUGGGGGUGAAAGGCCAAUCAAACCGGGAGAUAGCUGGUUCUCCCCGAAAGCUAUUUAGGUAGCGCCUCGUGAAUUCAUCUCCGGGGGUAGAGCACUGUUUCGGCAAGGGGGUCAUCCCGACUUACCAACCCGAUGCAAACUGCGAAUACCGGAGAAUGUUAUCACGGGAGACACACGGCGGGUGCUAACGUCCGUCGUGAAGAGGGAAACAACCCAGACCGCCAGCUAAGGUCCCAAAGUCAUGGUUAAGUGGGAAACGAUGUGGGAAGGCCCAGACAGCCAGGAUGUUGGCUUAGAAGCAGCCAUCAUUUAAAGAAAGCGUAAUAGCUCACUGGUCGAGUCGGCCUGCGCGGAAGAUGUAACGGGGCUAAACCAUGCACCGAAGCUGCGGCAGCGACGCUUAUGCGUUGUUGGGUAGGGGAGCGUUCUGUAAGCCUGCGAAGGUGUGCUGUGAGGCAUGCUGGAGGUAUCAGAAGUGCGAAUGCUGACAUAAGUAACGAUAAAGCGGGUGAAAAGCCCGCUCGCCGGAAGACCAAGGGUUCCUGUCCAACGUUAAUCGGGGCAGGGUGAGUCGACCCCUAAGGCGAGGCCGAAAGGCGUAGUCGAUGGGAAACAGGUUAAUAUUCCUGUACUUGGUGUUACUGCGAAGGGGGGACGGAGAAGGCUAUGUUGGCCGGGCGACGGUUGUCCCGGUUUAAGCGUGUAGGCUGGUUUUCCAGGCAAAUCCGGAAAAUCAAGGCUGAGGCGUGAUGACGAGGCACUACGGUGCUGAAGCAACAAAUGCCCUGCUUCCAGGAAAAGCCUCUAAGCAUCAGGUAACAUCAAAUCGUACCCCAAACCGACACAGGUGGUCAGGUAGAGAAUACCAAGGCGCUUGAGAGAACUCGGGUGAAGGAACUAGGCAAAAUGGUGCCGUAACUUCGGGAGAAGGCACGCUGAUAUGUAGGUGAAGUCCCUCGCGGAUGGAGCUGAAAUCAGUCGAAGAUACCAGCUGGCUGCAACUGUUUAUUAAAAACACAGCACUGUGCAAACACGAAAGUGGACGUAUACGGUGUGACGCCUGCCCGGUGCCGGAAGGUUAAUUGAUGGGGUUAGCCGCAAGGCGAAGCUCUUGAUCGAAGCCCCGGUAAACGGCGGCCGUAACUAUAACGGUCCUAAGGUAGCGAAAUUCCUUGUCGGGUAAGUUCCGACCUGCACGAAUGGCGUAAUGAUGGCCAGGCUGUCUCCACCCGAGACUCAGUGAAAUUGAACUCGCUGUGAAGAUGCAGUGUACCCGCGGCAAGACGGAAAGACCCCGUGAACCUUUACUAUAGCUUGACACUGAACAUUGAGCCUUGAUGUGUAGGAUAGGUGGGAGGCUUAGAAGUGUGGACGCCAGUCUGCAUGGAGCCGACCUUGAAAUACCACCCUUUAAUGUUUGAUGUUCUAACGUUGACCCGUAAUCCGGGUUGCGGACAGUGUCUGGUGGGUAGUUUGACUGGGGCGGUCUCCUCCUAAAGAGUAACGGAGGAGCACGAAGGUUGGCUAAUCCUGGUCGGACAUCAGGAGGUUAGUGCAAUGGCAUAAGCCAGCUUGACUGCGAGCGUGACGGCGCGAGCAGGUGCGAAAGCAGGUCAUAGUGAUCCGGUGGUUCUGAAUGGAAGGGCCAUCGCUCAACGGAUAAAAGGUACUCCGGGGAUAACAGGCUGAUACCGCCCAAGAGUUCAUAUCGACGGCGGUGUUUGGCACCUCGAUGUCGGCUCAUCACAUCCUGGGGCUGAAGUAGGUCCCAAGGGUAUGGCUGUUCGCCAUUUAAAGUGGUACGCGAGCUGGGUUUAGAACGUCGUGAGACAGUUCGGUCCCUAUCUGCCGUGGGCGCUGGAGAACUGAGGGGGGCUGCUCCUAGUACGAGAGGACCGGAGUGGACGCAUCACUGGUGUUCGGGUUGUCAUGCCAAUGGCACUGCCCGGUAGCUAAAUGCGGAAGAGAUAAGUGCUGAAAGCAUCUAAGCACGAAACUUGCCCCGAGAUGAGUUCUCCCUGACUCCUUGAGAGUCCUGAAGGAACGUUGAAGACGACGACGUUGAUAGGCCGGGUGUGUAAGCGCAGCGAUGCGUUGAGCUAACCGGUACUAAUGAACCGUGAGGCUUAACCUU